AUGGGGGCAGCUGAUGAGCAUGCCGCGUGAGUGAUGAAGGCCUUCGGGUUGUAAAGCUCUUUUGUCAGGGAAGAAAAUGACGGGGCCUGGAGAAUAAGCCCCGGACCGUUUCUUGCCAGCAGGCGCGGUAAUACGAAGGGGGCUAGCGUUGUUCGGAAUUACUGGGCGUAAAGGGUGCGUAGGUGGUUUAGUACGUCAGGAGU
rnacentral:rRNA from 1 species